UGAAGAAUCUGCCUUCAACUCUGGGAUAACUCCGGGAAACCGGGGCUAAUACCGGAUAUGAGCCUUGAUCGCAUGAUCGGGGCUGGAAAGUUUUUCGGUUGAAGAUGACUUCGCGGCCUAUCAGCUUGUUGGUGAGGUAAUGGCUCACCAAGGCGACGACGGGUAGCCGGCCUGAGAGGGCGACCGGCCACACUGGGACUGAGACACGGCCCAGACUCCUACGGGAGGCAGCAGUGGGGAAUAUUGGGCAAUGGAGGAAACUCUGACCCAGCGACGCCGCGUGAGGGAUGAAGGCCUUCGGGUUGUAAACCUCUUUCAGUAGGGAAGAAGCGAAAGUGACGGUACCUACAGAAGAAGCACCGGCUAACUAUGUGCCAGCAGCCGCGGUAAUACAUAGGGUGCAAGCGUUGUCCGGAAUUAUUGGGCGUAAAGAGCUCGUAGGUGGUUCGAUACGUCGGAUGUGAAAAUCAGGGGCUCAACCCCUGACCUGCAUCCGAUACGGUCGAGCUGGAGUUUGGUAGGGGAGACUGGAAUUCCUGGUGUAGCGGUGGAAUGCGCAGAUAUCAGGAGGAACACCGAUGGCGAAGGCAGGUCUCUGGGCCAAUACUGACACUGAGGAGCGAAAGCGUGGGGAGCGAACAGGAUUAGAUACCCUGGUAGUCCACGCCGUAAACGGUGGGCGCUAGUUGUGCGAACCUUCCACGGUUUGUGCGACGCAGC
rnacentral:rRNA from 1 species